rnacentral:rRNA from 1 species
CCUACGGGAGGCAGCAGUGGGGAAUUUUGGACAAUGGGCGAAAGCCUGAUCCAGCAAUGCCGCGUGAGUGAAGAAGGCCUUCGGGUUGUAAAGCUCUUUUGUCAGGGAAGAAACGGUGAUUUCUAAUACAGAUUGCUAAUGACGGUACCUGAAGAAUAAGCACCGGCUAACUACGUGCCAGCAGCCGCGGUAAUACGUAGGGUGCAAGCGUUAAUCGGAAUUACUGGGCGUAAAGCGUGCGCAGGCGGUUUUGUAAGUCUGACGUGAAAUCCCCGGGCUCAACCUGGGAAUUGCGUUGGAGACUGCAAGGCUAGAGUUUGGCAGAGGGGGGUAGAAUUCCACGUGUAGCAGUGAAAUGCGUAGAUAUGUGGAGGAACACCGAUGGCGAAGGCAGCCCCCUGGGUCAAGACUGACGCUCAUGCACGAAAGCGUGGGGAGCAAACAGGAUUAGAUACCCUGGUAGUCCACGCCCUAAACGAUGUCUACUAGUUGUCGGGUCUUAAUUGACUUGGUAACGCAGCUAACGCGUGAAGUAGACCGCCUGGGGAGUACGGUCGCAAGAUUAAAACUUAAAGGAAUUGACGG